GAGGAACCUGCUGCAGGCGCCGGCGCGGGCGGCGAGGACGACCUGUUUUUCUGACCCAGCCCGGAAGCGCUGGUGCAGGUGGUCUCUGAAUGAGGGUUCCUCUUUGCCUCUGAUGUCUGGAAGGGGAAUUCAGCAAGAGGGACUCCAGUCUGGAGCUCUGACCCCAACUUCCUCAAUCCAGGCCCUCAAAGAGGGCGGCCUGUGUCACCGGGCGCCGGAUUCCCCGGGGGGUGCCCGGGGUUGGGGCGGCACAUUCCCACCUGGAGUGCCCUCAUGCCUGGCUAUGCCGGACCUGCAGGGUCACACCCUCUCUCUGGACCUUUCCCUCCCCUGCACCCCCGCCCACGCCCCAGGCCCUCUGCUGCUUAAGCCAUGGCCCUGGGUCUGUAUCCUGACCUGGGCUGGUCAUUGUUCUGCAUUGGGUAGUUUAAUUACAACUUUCUCUGCGCUUA
rnacentral:lncRNA from 1 species